GUUCAUGUAUGUAACUAAUAAAAUCUCACCAUUAUUAACAAUUUAAAAAUUAAAUAAUCAAUUUCUGAUUCUUUUCAAAUUACAGCUUGGACAAAACAAACAAUCAAGCAUAAGAAGUUCAGAAGAUUUCCAUUUAAAUAGUUUCAAUAAUCCUCCCAGACAAUAUCAGAAAAUAAUGAAGAGGCUCAUUAAAAGAUACGUGCUGCAAGCCCAGAUAGAUAAAGAGAGCGAUGAGGUGAAUGAAGGGGAACUAAAGGAAAUUAAGCAGGACAUUUCAAGUCUCCGCUAUGAACUCCUAGAAGAAAAAUCUCAGAACACAGAAGAUCUCGCAGAACUGAUUAGAAAACUUGGAGAGAAAUUGUCCUCAGAACCAAAGCAAGAAGAAAACAAUAGAUAAUGAAAAGAUUUUCUUGGAAAUUCGUAUUUAUUUGUUCACUUGAAGCCAUAUUGUUUUCUGACUUUUUAAACUGAAGAUGAAAAAAGAAAAGGUUACAUGAUAACUUGGGUUACCCUGUCAUCUGGAGCCCUCGCAUCUAAUAUUUUGGUGAUUAAAUUUCGCUAUUUAGUCUAAAAAUUGUGAAUUCUGAUGAAAAUUUUGUGUAGUUAUUUAGUACUUGUUUUAUAAGCUGCUUUUUUGGAUGUCAUAUAGUGAUUAUAUGGUUGCCAGAUGAUAUCUGCCUCGAAUGGGUCUCAGAUGGCAAGGAUCUGUGGAUCUGCAUUAUUUCUUGUGUGUUUUUCCUCCAAAGGUGGCUUCAGGCAUCUUUCUGCCUACUUGGUGCAUCCGCUGAGGGUAACUUCCAGCCCUGGGAUACGGGGGAAAUAAUCUGUGGUCAUUUAAAGAAAGCUGUUCAGCCCCAAAGAAUAAGACUGAUAUUAUUUGUGCAAAAUUGGCUUACAUCCAUAUUAAACUUUUUCAUUUAUGUCUUUGAAAACAUUACACUUAACCAAGAAAAGAUGUUUCCUCCACUUAACCCUGGAAAUAUCCUACAGUUGUGAUAUAUUGCAUAUGUGUGUGUGUGUGUGUGUGUGUGUGUGUGUGUGUGUGGCUGUGUGCAUACAUACACAUAAAAUGCUUACUCUGUUUCUUUUGUAGCUAAUAUAAACACUCAAAAGCUCUUUAUUAUAAGAUAUUUUUGUGGCUGAAAAAUUAAUGCCCAAAUAAAAAACUUUUAUA
rnacentral:lncRNA from 1 species